AACUCUAAGCGGUGGAUCACUCGGCUCGUGUGUCGAUGAAGAGCGCAGCCAGCUGCGUGAAUUAAUGUGAGUUGCAUGACACAUUGAACAUCGAUAUCUUGAACGCAUAUUGCGGCCUCGGGCAUUCCCGAGGCCACGCCUGUCUCAGGGUCGGUUGAACGUCAAUCGCGAA
rnacentral:rRNA from 1 species